GUAUCAAGAGCCUAGGGCUUCUCACCAAGUGACAGAGGUGGCAUGAAUUCAGUAGAGAAGAGAGGGGCAAGAUCAUUAGGGCUGGCAGUGAGCCCCAAAGUCCCUCCCAGCCGUGGAUCCUGCCCCGGAGGACACCAGGGCUCUUUUGUAGCCGGAAUGGCACGCUGGAUGGUUCCGGAUACUCUGAUUGGCUAGGCAUCUGUUCUGAAGGGUCAGUGUUGAUUCUGAUGGACAGAUCGGCUGGGAUUGGCCCGGGGCUACUUUGUGCUAGCUAGUUCUUACUCCUGGCUUUGCCUUUUGUUUCAUUCUAAGAGAGGUGGUGGGCAGAUCAGGUGUGAAGAUUAACUUCCUGCAGCUCUGAAUGGUUGCUGGUUUUCUGGCUCUCCUCCAACAUGGCUGAUUCGGGCACACGUCAUAGAAGAAGGGAGAGAUUUUACCUUCAAGCUACACAACCAAGUGGCCGCUGUGGAGAGAAGCUGAACGGAACAUACACCAAUCCCAGGUCACCUACAGAGAUCCCAACUUAACACCCGGCACUCGGCACUCUUAGGUACUGGGAUUCAGCGGACCUUAGACCAGGGUGAGGCAAGAAGCUACGGGAAACAGCUGAGUUUCUGGCCACUCUCUUGGCUAAACGUAUGUGGUUUCUCCAAGAAGGAGCAGCGGCAGCAAGAAUGAUGGGUAAUGAAGAUGGAGCCCUUGUGAAGUGCCAGACAUAGUCCUGGGUGCCUAGCACCCAAGUGGGAGUGCAAGAGGCCACUGGGCACAGAGUCCUUUGGGACCCUAACCUCCUGCUUCUGCCCCACCCCCACUCAAUGGAGCUCUCAGGUGCUGUCUGGUUGAUUGUAUUCACCUGCCUGCCACCACCCCUACUCCUGAACUGCUCUCCUGGGAGAUAAGAUAAUCACAGCCCAUUAAUCAUGGUGGUCUGGCACAUUACAGGUGCAGAUAAGCCCACUCCCAGGCUGGCUCCCAGGGGUGGGCCAGGGGAGGUAGCUGGGGAGUUUGGCCUCAAAUUCCAAUAUCAAGUGUGUGGAGGUGGGGGUAGAGUCUGCCAUGGGCUUUGGGAUGGUGAUGCGUCGGGAAAGGCAGGUUAAUUGAGAGUCCGGAGAUCUGACUGUCCCCACUCUGUGUCUUUCGAUACACAACACCUCUCUGGGCUUCUGUUUCCACCUGUGAAAAAAAGGGAGAAGGGGACAGGGACAGCAUGAAAGGUCCUUGGAGUCUGAAGAUGCUCUGUGGCCAGCACAGGGUGGUGAAGAGUGGACUCACUUGUUGCAGGAAUAGGAACAGAGGGUGUGUGGGUGGGGAGGGGUCUGCCUUGGCUAAGGGACAAUAUGUUGGAUGGGAUUUAUUUUCCUGUCAUGGGAAGGGAGUGGUUGGUGGCCAUACAGGCUGUGUGACAGUGUGGCGGGGUAGAGAAUGAAUAGUGGUUGUACACUUUGGAGUCAUGUAACAUCCUGGCUAGGUUCUGGAUAAUGGAGUUUGAUAAGGCCCCAGUUCGGCUACUUUUCCUGCGCAGACCUUGAGUAGGUCACUCAGCCUCUGUCCUUUUAAUUUUCCCUUUUAGGAUUAUAUGAGGAUGGUGACAGACUAUGGUCUGGCAGGUUGUACCAGGAAGACCAAUGCAGCAUCCUCAGCGCCAUGCCUGGCGGGUCGCUGGCAGCAGGUGACAGGCUCAGGCGGUGCUUCAGGAGCUCCCUAGCAUAGCUUUCUGCAGCUGCCUUCCCAGAGGAUGACUAUCGGAUGUCCAAGCACUUCCCAGUUUUGCCACCAGAGGGAGCAGCUGCUGUGUCUGGGAACUGGGAGGUUCCCAGCUGGGAUGCUCCUGUCCUGGAAGCCCUUCAGCCUAGAUACUGGCUGGACUGGGGCAAUAUAUAAAUAUAUAAAUAUACACCAUC